rnacentral:rRNA from 1 species
GAUGAACGCUGGCGGCGUGCCUAAUACAUGCAAGUCGAGCGAACGGACGAGAAGCUUGCUUCUCUGAUGUUAGCGGCGGACGGGUGAGUAACACGUGGAUAACCUACCUAUAAGACUGGGAUAACUUCGGGAAACCGGAGCUAAUACCGGAUAAUAUUUUGAACCGCAUGGUUCAAAAGUGAAAGACGGUCUUGCUGUCACUUAUAGAUGGAUCCGCGCUGCAUUAGCUAGUUGGUAAGGUAACGGCUUACCAAGGCAACGAUGCAUAGCCGACCUGAGAGGGUGAUCGGCCACACUGGAACUGAGACACGGUCCAGACUCCUACGGGAGGCAGCAGUAGGGAAUCUUCCGCAAUGGGCGAAAGCCUGACGGAGCAACGCCGCGUGAGUGAUGAAGGUCUUCGUAUCGUAAAACUCUGUUAUUAGGGAAGAACAUAUGUGUAAGUAACUGUGCACAUCUUGACGGUACCUAAGCAGAAAGCCACGGCUAACUACGU